rnacentral:rRNA from 1 species
AGCGAACGCUGGCGGCAGGCCUAACACAUGCAAGUCGAACGGAUCCUUCGGGAUUAGUGGCGGACGGGUGAGUAACACGUGGGAACGUGCCCUUUGGUUCGGAACAACUCAGGGAAACUUGAGCUAAUACCGGAUGUGCCCUUCGGGGGAAAGAUUUAUCGCCAUUGGAGCGGCCCGCGUCUGAUUAGCUAGUUGGUGAGGUAAAGGCUCACCAAGGCGACGAUCAGUAGCUGGUCUGAGAGGAUGAUCAGCCACAUUGGGACUGAGACACGGCCCAAACUCCUACGGGAGGCAGCAGUGGGGAAUCUUGCGCAAUGGGCGAAAGCCUGCCGCAGCCAUGCCGCGUGAAUGAUGAAGGUCUGAGGAUUGUAAAAUUCUUUCACCGGGGACGAUAAUGACGGUACCCGGAGAAGAAGCCCCGGCUAACUUCGUGCCAGCAGCCGCCGUAA